GACGAACGCUGGCGGCGUGCUUAACACAUGCAAGUCGAGCGGAAAGGCCACUUCGGUGGUACUCGAGCGGCGAACGGGUGAGUAACACGUGAGUAAUCUGCCCCUGGCUUUGGGAUAGCCACCGGAAACGGUGAUUAAUACCGGAUAUGACCACUUCACGCAUGUGAUGGUGGUGGAAAGUUUCUCGGCCAGGGAUGUGCUCGCGGCCUAUCAGCUUGAUGGUGAGGUAAUGGCUCACCAUGGCUUCGACGGGUAGCCGGCCUGAGAGGGUGACCGGUCACACUGGGACUGAGACACGGCCCAGACUCCUACGGGAGGCAGCAGUGGGGAAUAUUGGACAAUGGGCGGAAGCCUGAUCCAGCAACGCCGCGUGAGGGAUGACGGCCUUCGGGUUGUAAACCUCUUUCGCCUGUGACGAAGCGCAAGUGACGGUAACAGGUAAAGAAGCACCGGCCAACUACGUGCCAGCAGCCGCAGUAACAC
rnacentral:rRNA from 1 species